GAUUAAGCCAUGCAUGUGUAAGUAUAAAUAAUUCUACUUUGAAACUGCGAAUGGCUCAUUAUAUCAGUUAUAGUUUAUUAGAAAAAAUGUACUACUUGGAUAACCGUAGUAAUUCUAGGGCUAAUACAUGAAUGAAUCCUCGACUUUGAAGAGGUGUGUUUAUUAGUAUGAAAACCAUAUGCUUUUGCAUGAUAGUGAGUAAUAAUAACCUUUCAUAUCGCCUGUUUUUAAUAGCGAUAGUUCUUUCAAGUUUCUGCCCUAUCAGCUUUCGAUGGUAGUGUAUUGGACUACCAUG
rnacentral:rRNA from 1 species